CCCUUAGAUGUUCUGGGCUGCACACGCGCUACACUGAGUGGAUCAGCGGGUCAGGUUGCGCGAAAGUGUUUCCUAAUCUUGAAAUCCGCUCGUGAUGGGGAUUGACGGUUGCAAUUUUCCGUCAUGAACGAGGAAUACCUUGUAAGCGCGGGUCAUCAUCCCGCGCUGAAUACGUCCCUGCCCUUUGUACACACCGCCCGUCGCUCCUACCGAUUGAGUGGUCCGGUGAGGCUUUGGGAUCUGAGCGGAAAGAGCGUUUCGCUGUUUCUGCUCGGAAAACUCAGUCGAACCUCAUCAUUUAGAGGAAGGAGAAGUCGUAACA
rnacentral:rRNA from 1 species